rnacentral:rRNA from 1 species
AUGUCCACCUCCCCCUCCGCCGCCACCCCCCUCCUCGCGCUCCUCCGCCGCAACGCCGCCAACCCCGCCGCCGCGCUCCGCCUCUUCCNNNNNNNNNNNNNNNNNNNNNNNNNNNNNNNNNNNNNNNNNNNNNNNNNNNNNNNNNNNNNNNNNNNNNNNNNUCCCUCCGGCCACCCGCUCCUCCCGCGCCUCCUCGCCCACCUCCUCUCCCUCCCGGACCCCGCCCCGCACCUCUUCGCGCUGCUCUCCGCCGCAUCCGCCUCCCCGCGCGUCCCGCUCGACUUCUCCCUCUCCGCCUUCCGCUCCCUCCGCGCGCUCCCCGGCCCCGCGCUCCGCCCGCCGCCCACCCCCGUCUACAACCGCCUCCUCCUCGCCGCGCUCGGGGAGUCCCGCCUCGACCUCGUCGAGUCGCUCUACAAGGAUCUCCUCCUCUCCGGCGCCGCCCCCGACGUCUUCACCCGCAACGUGCUGCUGCAGGCGCUCUGCGCCGCCGGCCGCAUGGACCUCGCACGCAGGGUGUUCGACGCGAUGCCCGCCAGGAACGACUUCAGCUUUGGGAUCCUGGCGCGAGGAUACUGCCGCGCGGGCAGGAGCGCCGAUGCGCUCGGGGUGCUCGACGAAAUGCCGAGGAUGAACCUGGUGGUCUGCAACACGGUGGUGGCGGGGUUCUGCCGGGAGGGCCAGGUGGACCAGGCCGAGAGGCUGGUGGAACGGAUGCGGGCGCAGGGGCUCGCGCCCAAUGUGGUCACGUUCAAUGGCAGGAUCUCUGCGCUCUGCAAGGCUGGCCGGGUGCUGGAGGCAUACAUGAUAUUCAAUGAUAUGCAGGAGGCCCUGAAGCCGGGUCUGCCGAGGCCUGAUCAGGUGACGUUUGAUGUGAUGCUCAGCGGUUUCUGUGAUGCCGGGAUGGUGGAUGAGGCAAGGGUGCUGGUGGACAUUAUGAGAUGUGGUGGGUUCCUGAGGAAGGUCGAGAGUUACAACCGCUGGUUGUCAGGAUUGGUGAGGAAUGGUAAGAUCGGAGAGGCGCAAGAGUUGCUGAGCGAGAUGGCUCAUGAGGGUGUCCAGCCUAAUAGCUAUACAUACAACAUCAUUGUUGAUGGAUUGUGUAAGGAGGGCAAAUCGUUUGAUGUAAGGAGAGUUGAGGAUUUUGUGAGGAGUGGUGUGAUGACACCAGAUGUUGUGACUUAUACUAGUUUGCUCCGUGCUUAUUGCUCGAAGGGAAACACUGUCGCUGCCAACAGGAUCCUUGAUGAGAUGGCGCAGAAGGGGUGUGCCCCAAAUUUGUUCACCUACAAUGUUUUGCUGGAGAGUUUGUGGAAAGCUGGUAGGACUACAGAGGUAGAAAGGUUGUUGGAGAGGAUGGGUGAGAAAGGAUAUAGCUUGGAUACAACAAGCUGCAAUAUCAUUAUUGAUGGACUAUGCAGAAGCAGUAAAUUAGAUAUGGCUAUGGACAUUGUCGAUGAAAUGUGGAAUGAAGGAAGUUUGGCUCUUGGCAGAUUGGGUAGUUCGUUUUCAAGUUUAGCGAGUGAUUCUUUCCUCAGCAAAAAAUGUCUACCUGACCGAAUCACUUACACAACUUUGAUGAAUGCAUUGUGCAAAGAAGGAAGGUUUGAAGAAGCAAAGAAACGAUUACUUGAGAUGAUAGCAAAAGAUAUUUCUCCUGAUUCAGUUAUAUAUGAUACCUUUAUUCACGGUUAUUGCAAGCAUGGCAAGACAUCUUCAGCCAUCAAGGUUCUGAGAGACAUGGAAAAGAAAGGUUUCAACCCAAGCACAAGGUCAUACAACUUGUUGAUUUGGGGAUUUCAAGAAAAACACAUGUCGGAUGAAAUCCUUGAAUUGAUGAGUGAAAUGAAGGAGAAGGGGAUCUCUUCUAACGUCAUGACCUACAAUAGCUUGAUAAAAUCCUUUUGUGAACAAGGAAUGGUGAACAAAGCAAUGCCUUUGUUAGAUGAAAUGUUGCAGAAUGAAAUAGUUCCUAAUGUAACUUCUUUUGGCUUGUUGAUCAAGGCUUUUUGUAAGAUUGCAGAUUUCUCUGCAGCUCAGAGGGUAUUUGAUGUUGCUUUGAGUACAUGUGGUCAGAAGGAAGUGCUCUAUUGCCUAAUGUGCGCCGAACUCUCCACUUAUGCUAGGUGGAUAGAAGCCAAGAACAUUCUUGAAACAGCACUUGAAAUGAGAAUCUCCAUCCAAAGUUUCCCAUAUAAGCAGAUCAUCGUGGGGCUCUGCGAUGUUCGUGAGGCAGACCAAGCGCAUAGUCUUCUCAAGUUGUUUAUAGCUAAAGGAUAUUCAUUUGAUCCAGCCACAUUCAUGCCUGUCAUAGAUGUACUAAGUGAAACGGGAAAGAAGCAGGAUGCUGAUAUACUGUCGGAAAAGAUGAUGGAAAUGGCAGAUGGUAAUGUUGGUCAUGCUACUGUUUCUGGUGUGGUUACUACUGGAAGCCGGAAGCAUGAGCAUGGCAAGUAUGCUGAAAGUGAUUGGCAUUCCCUUCUGCACAGAGAUGACAGUGCUCAUACGGUUAUGAAAAUUACCAAUAGAGUGAGAACAGGAUGGGGCCAAAGAGGCAAUAUAUACGAGCAUAAAAGGCAGCAGGAUGAUGACAUUUAUGUACUUGAGAACAGUGGCUGA